UGCUGGAAUGAAUGGUUGGACGAGAUAUAAACUGUUUCAGUUUAAUUUAUAAUAGAAUUUUAUUUUUUAGUUAAAAAGCUAAAAUUUUUUUAAAAGACGAGAAGACCCUAUAAAUCUUUAUAAUUAAUUUAUUUUUAUUUUAAGGAUGUGUUUUAUAUUAAUAGAUUUAAUUAUUUUAUUGGGGUGAUAUUAAAAUUUAAUAAACUUUUAAUUAUUUAAUACAUUAAUUAAUGAUUUACUGAUCCACUAUUGGUGAUUAUAAGAUUAAGUUACUUUAGGGAUAACAGCGUAAUUUUUUUGGAGAGUUCAUAUCGAUAAAAAAGAUUGCGACCUCGAUGUUGGAUUAAGAUAUAAUUUUGGGUGCAGCCAUUCAAAUUUUAAGUCUGUUCGACUUUUAAAUUCUUACAUGAUCUGAGUUCAAACCGGCGUAAGCCAGGUUGGUUUCUAUCUUUAAAUUUUAAAAAUAUUUUAGUACGAAAGGAUUAAAUAUUUGAAUUAUUUAUUUUUUAUUUUGAAUAUUAUUAAUUUAAAACUAUUUU
rnacentral:rRNA from 1 species